UACGUAGGGGGCGAGCGUUGUCCGGAUUCAUUGGGCGUAAAGAGCUCGUAGGCGGCUUGGCAAGCCGGGUGUGAAACCUCCAGGCUCAACCUGGAGACGCCACCCGGGACUGUUAUGGCUAGAAUCCGGUAGGGGAUCACGGAAUUCCUGGUGUAGCGGUGAAAUGCGUAGAUAUCAGGAGGAAUACCUAUGGCGAAAGCAGGUAUCUGGGCCAUCACUGACGCUGAGCUGCGAAAGCUAGGGGAGCAAACAGG
rnacentral:rRNA from 1 species